rnacentral:rRNA from 1 species
AAGGGUGCAGGGCGGAUGCCUUGGCACUAGGAGCCGAUGAAGGACGUGAUAAGCUGCGAUAAGCUUCGGGGAGUUGCACGUAAACUUUGAUCCGAAGAUUUCCGAAUGAGGAAACUCACUUAGAGUAAUGUCUAAGUAUCAUUAAGUGAAUACAUAGCUUAAUGAGGGGAACUCAGGGAACUGAAACAUCUAAGUACCUGAAGGAAGAGAAAGAAAUUCGAUUCCGUAAGUAGCGGCGAGCGAACGCGGAUUAGCCCAAACCAAUAAAGUUUUCUUUAUUGGGGUUGCGGACAUAUCAUAACGAAGAGGUAUCGUAAUUGAAGAGGUUUGGAAAGACCCACCACAGAAGGUAAUAGUCCUGUAUGUUAAACGAGAAGACUUUAGAUAUGAUCCAGAGUACCACGGGACACGUGAAACCCUGUGGGAAGCAGGAGGGACCACCCUCCAAGGCUAAAUACUACCUAGUGACCGAUAGCGUAUAGUACCGUGAGGGAAAGGUGAAAAGAACCCCGGGAGGGGAGUGAAAUAGAACCUGAAACCCUGCACUUACAAGCUGUGGAAGCACAUUUCUUGUGUGACCGCGUACUUUUUGUAGAACGGGCCAACGAGUUACGUUAAGUAGCAAGGUUAAGCACUUAAGGUG